rnacentral:rRNA from 1 species
GUUUACAAAUAUAUCACAUUGAAUGCACUGGUUCUCUUCCGAUCACCGAUGUCAAACAACGUUGAGCCUAGUGAGAACUUAGAUACGUGACCGCUUGGGAAACCUAGGUGCUGUAAAGA